GACGAACGCUGGCGGCGUGCUUAACACAUGCAAGUCGAACGCUGGACCCGCUUCGGUGGGGGAUGAGUGGCGAACGGGUGAGUAACACGUGGGCAACCUGCCCCCGGCUCUGGGAUAACUCCAAGAAAUUGGGGCUAAUACCGGAUGUGACCGCUGGCCGCAUGGUCUGGUGGUGGAAAGGGUUUCCGGCUGGGGAUGGGCCCGCGGCCUAUCAGCUUGUUGGUGGGGUAGUGGCCUACCAAGGCGACGACGGGUAGCCGGCCUGAGAGGGUGACCGGCCACACUGGGACUGAGACACGGCCCAGACUCCUACGGGAGGCAGCAGUGGGGAAUAUUGCGCAAUGGGCGGAAGCCUGACGCAGCGACGCCGCGUGGGGGAUGACGGCCUUCGGGUUGUAAACCUCUUUCAGCAGGGACGAAGCGCAAGUGACGGUACCUGCAGAAGAAGCACCGGCCAACUACGUG
rnacentral:rRNA from 1 species